rnacentral:rRNA from 4 species
ACCUUCGGGCCUCUUGCCAUCAGAUGUGCCCAGAUGGGAUUAGCUUGUUGGUGAGGUAACGGCUCACCAAGGCGACGAUCCCUAGCUGGUCUGAGAGGAUGACCAGCCACACUGGAACUGAGACACGGUCCAGACUCCUACGGGAGGCAGCAGUGGGGAAUAUUGCACAAUGGGCGCAAGCCUGAUGCAGCCAUGCCGCGUGUAUGAAGAAGGCCUUCGGGUUGUAAAGUACUUUCAGCGGGGAGGAAGGUGUUGUGGUUAAUAACCGCAGCAAUUGACGUUACCCGCAGAAGAAGCACCGGCUAACUCCGUGCCAGCAGCCGCGGUAAUACGGAGGGUGCAAGCGUUAAUCGGAAUUACUGGGCGUAAAGCGCACGCAGGCGGUCUGUCAAGUCGGAUGUGAAAUCCCCGGGCUCAACCUGGGAACUGCAUUCGAAACUGGCAGGCUUGAGUCUUGUAGAGGGGGGUAGAAUUCCAGGUGUAGCGGUGAAAUGCGUAGAGAUCUGGAGGAAUACCGGUGGCGAAGGCGGCCCCCUGGACAAAGACUGACGCUCAGGUGCGAAAGCGUGGGGAGCAAACAGGAUUAGAUACCCUGGUAGUCCACGCCGUAAACGAUGUCUACUUGGAGGUUGUGCCCUUGAGGCGUGGCUUCCGGAGCUAACGCGUUAAGUAGACCGCCUGGGGAGUACGGCCGCAAGGUUAAAACUCAAAUGAAUUGACGGGGGCCCGCACAAGCGGUGGAGCAUGUGGUUUAAUUCGAUGCAACGCGAAGAACCUUACCUGGUCUUGACAUCCACGGAAGUUUUCAGAGAUGAGAAUGUGCCUUCGGGAACCGUGAGACAGGUGCUGCAUGGCUGUCGUCAGCUCGUGUUGUGAAAUGUUGGGUUAAGUCCCGCAACGAGCGCAACCCUUAUCCUUUGUUGCCAGCGGUCCGGCCGGGAACUCAAAGGAGACUGCCAGUGAUAAACUGGAGGAAGGUGGGGAUGACGUCAAGUCAUCAUGGCCCUUACGACCAGGGCUACACACGUGCUACAAUGGCGCAUACAAAGAGAAGCGACCUCGCGAGAGCAAGCGGACCUCAUAAAGUGCGUCGUAGUCCGGAUUGGAGUCUGCAACUCGACUCCAUGAAGUCGGAAUCGCUAGUAAUCGUGGAUCAGAAUGCCACGGUGAAUACGUUCCCGGGCCUUGUACACACCGCCCGUCACACCAUGGGAGUGGGUUGCAAAAGAAGUAGGUAGCUUAACCUUCGGGAGGGCGCUUACCACUUUGUGAUUCAUGACUGGGGUGAAGUCGUAACAAGGUAACCGUAGGGGAACCUGCGGUUGGAUCACCUCCUUACCUUAAAGAAGC